rnacentral:miRNA from 1 species
UUCCUGCCUGUUCAUAAAUAUU